rnacentral:rRNA from 1 species
AUUGAACGCUGGCGGCAGGCCUAACACAUUCAAGUCGAACGAGUUGCGGACGGGUGAGUAAUGUCUGGGAAACUGCCUUAUGGAGGGGGAUAACUACUGGAAACGGUAGCUAAUACCGCAUACCAUCAGAUGUGCCCAGAUGGGCUUAGCUAUUUGGUGGGGUAACGGAUCACCAAGGCGACGAUCCCUAGCUGGUCUGAGAGGAUGACAAGCCACACUGGAACGGAGACAAGGUCCAGACUCCUAAGGGAGGCAGCAGUGGGGAAUAUUGCAAAAUGGGCGCAAGCCUGAUGCAGCCAUGCCGCGUGUAUGAAGAAGGCCUUCGGGUUGUAAAGUACUUUCAGCGGGGAGGCGUUACCCGAAGAAGAAGCACCGGGUAACUCCGUGCCAGCAGCCGCGGUAAUUC